UUAGUUGGUGGAGUGAUUUGUCUGGUUAAUUCCGUUAACGAACGAGACCUCAGCCUACUAAAUAGUACUGCUUUUCGCAAGAAAGGUAGAGACUUCACG
rnacentral:rRNA from 1 species